GGAGUCUGCUUCUCCCUCUGACCCUCCCCCUUCUCUUGAGCACUCUCUUAAAUAAAUAAAUAAAAUCUUUAAUAAAAAAAAAAAAAAAAAAAGACCCCCAAAUGUAGUUUUUCACAGGAGAAGGUUAAAUGAUUAGAGUUGAUUCAGGAGGGUUACAUAUCAAAAUACGUAUUUUUAUUUAGGUUUUUGUAGACCUGAAAUUUGGUUUUUCCCUUUUAUUUAAAAAAAAAAGUUCACAAGUUACGCUUUACAAAAUUAGGCAAAGGCAAAUCAGUAAAAAUGUCCAUUUUGCUCAGUCCAUAUGGAUUUGCUCAGUCCAUAUGGAUUUAAUGAAAGGGCGUGCACACACACACACACACACACACACACACUUCAGAAGUUGAACCACGCUUUAUUUCCAAAAUCAGACAAAGACACAGAUCUGCAAACACAGGCCCCCUGUAACAUUACCGAAGGCGUCAGAUUACACGGCGGGCGGGCGGGGGCCCUCAGCAGCCCCCGUAAUUGUCUCCACGUUCCUGGCCCCGCAUUUCCAGAUUCUGGGACGCCCUCAGACUCCUUAAUGCCCGGCUUUGUCACCCCGCCGGGCCGCGUGAAUGGCAGCCAAGGCUGGAAGCAAGCCACACGUCCUGCCUGAGCUCAAGGAGAAAGGAUGACACACGGAUGUGAAUCCCAGGAGGUGGGAUAAAUGUAAGUAAAUAUAUAUACUUAUAUGCUCAUACGCAGUCUGCCACAGUAUAUAACUCAUAGAGUUGAUAAAAAAUAAUAUAAACAUUUAUUCCUAUUUGAAGAAUUUGGAUUUCACUUUGAUUUCCUUUAAAUAGAUUUUAUUUUGUUUGUUGAUCGUAGUCAUAGGUGUUUAGAUUGCAAAGACCAAGAACUUAGUUGUUGUUGGUUUUUUAAAGAUUUUAUUUAUUUGACAGAGAGACACAGUGAGAGAGGGAACACAAGCAGGGGGAGUGGGAGAGGGAGAAGCAGGCUUCCCGCUGAGCAGAGAGCUGGAUGUGGGGCUCGAUCCCAGGAGAGCUGGAUGUGGGGCUCGAUCCCAGGACCCUGGGAUCAUGACUUGAGCCUAAGGCAGACUCUUAACGACUGAGUCACCCAGGUGCCCCAAAUCUUUUGUUUUUUAAGUGACCCCAUAGUAUUGUAUUAAGUUGAACCAUAUAAAAUUGUCAUUUUUUAUAGGUCAAAGUGGUCCAGUAAUAGUUUCAUACGUAUUCUGUGAAAGUGAAGUGUAUGCAAAAUGACCUCCUGUGGGUGAAAGACCGUAAGAGGGAAAAAAAAGGCCAAGAAGUCCAGUUUGACAACGAAUGGCUUAUUAGGGGAACUUAACAGAAGCAAGUCUUGGGCUUUGCAAAACCAGCAGAUCUCCUUGACCCCACCUCCCUUAACACCUACUCUUAUAGCCCUGGAGGCAGAGAGUACAUGUGGGGGAUCACCCAGGAGAAAAAUGCUUUAAGAAUAGGUGAGUGUCAUAGUCAUAUCUCCAGGGCAGAGCAAGGAUGUUGUGCCCCUAGGGUGUGCUUAAGGGUGUGGUUAAACAAAAGGAAAGAAUGUGGGAGAGAAAGGACCUGUGCUCAUGGAGUUUUGAGGUCACAGUACAGUCAUUAUGGUGGAUUUGUCCAAGAUGGCUUUAGUUUGGUUCACACAAUAUGGUUCAUCUAACAUAAAUGAAUUGCAACUUCCUUAAUCAAUUUCCAAUUGGUUGCAGUUGUUUCUAAUUUUUUGCCAAUAGAAACAGUGUUUCUUUUUUUUUCUUUAAAGAUUUUAUUUAUUUACUUGACAGACAGAGAUCACAAGUAGGCAGAGAGGCAGAGAGAGAGGAGGAAGCAGGCUCCCUGCUGAGCAGAGAGCCCCAGGCGGGGCUCGAUCCCAGGACCUGGGAUCAUGACCUGAGCGAAAGCAGAGGCUUUAACCCACUGAGCCACCCAGGUGCCCCUCUUUUUUUUUUUUUUUAAUAAGCUUUUUUUUUUUUUUUUUAAGAUUUUAUUUAUUUAUUUGACAGACAGAGAUUACAAGUAGACAGAGAGACAGGCAGAGAGAAAGAGGAGGAAGCAGGCUCCCUGCUGAGCAGAGAGCCCGAUGCGGGACUUGAUUCCAGGACCUUGGGAUCAUGACCUGAGCCGAAGGCAGCAGCUUUAACCCACUGAGCCACCCAGGAGCCCAUAAACAGUGUUUCUAUUAAUAACUUUGUAUAUGUUUCGAUGUGUCCUUGUACUAAUAAGCCUUAGGAUGAAAAUAGAGAAUUCCCAGGUUAAAGAGUAUGGAUGUUUAAAAUUUUGCUAAAAUAAACUGCCAACUUGUCUUCCAUUAAGGUUAUACCAAUUUAUACUCCCAGAAGUGUUACCUGAGAGUUCUUGUUUUCUGGAGCCUUCUACAGUGUAGUAUACAUUUUUUCCUUAUGCCAUAUUGAAGCACAGACAUUUUUAUGAUUUGCCCAGAAUGAGAUCUAGAGGCAGAGCUGGGAGUUGGCUCAAACAUUUCAGAUUAAUAUCAUUCUUUUCAUCAUUUCAUUUAGGGUUUCACACAUUUUCUACACCUGUUUUUUGAGUUACAUCAAAGUUUACCUCAAGCUAACAUCUUCCAGGUGGGCUUCCCAGAUAAACAGACCUACACUCACCUUUCAUUAUCUUACAUGUAGAAGCCUAAUUUCUUUGGUUGUUCUCAUUGGUUUCUAAGGGUUUCAUGGGGUAAUCCCAAAUCCCAGCUUGUUGAAGGCUACUACUCUGUCAGGGUACCCACUGUGGAGGCCGAGAAAAACCAAGGCCAUCCCACCUCAGGUUUAGCUUUAGCAUAAGUACAGCCAUCUUAGCUCUGGCAGCCAUCUCAGACCCCUGUGCCCAAGAGCUGAACUUUCCCCUACUUUACUUUAGUUCUAAGGACCCCCACCCUGCUUUAGUAAUAGGAAGCCCCACCCUGCUUUAGUUCCAGAGACCCCCCACCCUGCUUUAGUAACAGGAACCCAUAAAUAACCCUGCCUUAACUAAGCUCGGGGUCCAAGUUCCUUCUCCGCUGUGUUGGGUAUACUUGGGCCCAAGCUUAAGCUUGUCAAAUAAACCCUCGUGUGAUUGCAUCGGUGUUGGCUCCUUGGUGGUCUCUCGGAUGCGAAAACUUGGGCAUAACACCCAUAGCCCGCUUCCUCAGCCCCAAAGUCCUGAGCACCUGGCCCAGUAUCAACAAUUAUUUGUUUAUUGUUUAAUUAAGCCAUUUUUAAAUGUAUCAUUCUCUAAUGGAAGAAGAUGUAAUAAUAUUUAUUGGGCACCUAUUACAAUGUAAGUUAUUGUGGGGUGCUAGGCAGUAUGCAGGACGUCCUAUAAUUUAUUCUUCAUAGUAACCAUGGAAGUAGGUAAGCCAUCUUCAACAAGAGAAAAGAAAAAAAGUGAAGAGAUUAAGGAACCUUCUCAAAGUAAUGCAGAGUAAGAGGUGGGCAAAACUAGUAUUCAAACCAGUCAUCCCUGACUCCAAUAGCAGUGCUCGCCCACAUCGCAGGGGCUGCCUCCUGGGGCCAGGAGUAAGAGGCAGAUGGGACAAGUGAGGCUCUUUGUCCUGGGUGCAAAAUAAAAAUGGAGUACCAACAAACUCGUAGUCAAGAUAAAUUGUGUUUUAAAGCAAUAGUUUUAAAAAAAUCAAAAUUAAUACAAAACAAUCCCUGAUAAACAAAACAUCACAUUUUUAAAUAAAAACAGUACCAUUCUUCACUGAUUUUCCUUCCCCCUCAGGCUCCAAUAUAGCUUCCCAAAGUACUGUUACUGCUUCUGUCUUUAUUUAAAAUAAUAAGUGUGGUGCAUGGCUGGCUCAGUCACUAGAGCAUGUGACUCUUAAUCUUGUGAUUAAGUUCACAAGUCUGAGCCCUAUAUUGGGUGUACAGAUUACUUAAAAAUAAAAUCUUAAAACAAACAAACACCAUAGUUAAGUCAUUGGAUGAAAAUGUUGUUGUAAAGGAUUAAAACACUGAUGUCCAGGCAAACUGAAACAGAGAGAGACUAAAGGACUUUGAAGGUUGAAAAGACUUUGCCUAGGGUCACCUGGCUGGCUCAGGCGGUAGAACAUGUGACUCUUAACCUCAGGGUCCCAGAUUCAAACCCCACAUUGGGUGGGGAGCCUACUUCGAUUUAAUAAUAAUAAAGAAAUUAAAAAAGAAAAGAUUUUGCCUAGUAGAGAUGAGUUCAGAAAAGCAAACUGGGAGAAGCACCUGGGUGGCUCAGCCAGUUAAGCAUCCAGCUCUUAAUUUCAAUUUAGUCAUGAUCUCAGGGUCAUGGGAUUAUUCCCACACCAGGCUCAGUGCCAAGUCUGCUUGCCCCCUCCCUCUGUUCCUCCUUCCCCCCAGCUCCCUCAUUCUCUCCCUCCCUCUCUCUCUCAAAUAAAUAAAUAAAUAAAUAAAUAAAUAAGAAAGAAAAGAAGGGCACCUGGGUGGCUCCGUCUGUUAAGCAUCUGACUUUGGGCUUGAGUCAUGAUCUCAGGGUUCUGGGAUAAAGACUCAAAUCAGCCUCCUUACUCAGGGAAUCUGCUUCUCCCUCUCCCUUUGCACUUCCCAUACUCAUGCUCUCUCUCUCUCUCUCAAAUAAAUAAACGAAAUCUUUAAAAAUAAAGAAAAGCAAACUGGGUAGAGAGUACAUGGGUGUAAUUUCACUUUUCCCUGCUAUCUCUGUGCUAAAUAAUUUGGGAAGUAUAAGAGAAUAAGAUGGCUCAGCACUUUAGAUAAAUUCUCUGUCAGCGACAGAUAUCUUGCUACUUCUGAUGCCCAUGCUGAUCCCAGCUCUGACAGUAAACUUGGGGGUGCCCUGUUAUUUAAAAAAAAUAUAUAUAUAUUUUUAAGUAAUCUCUAUACCCUGGGUGGGUCCCUAACUGAAGACCCUGAGAUCAAGAGCCACACAUUCCA
rnacentral:lncRNA from 1 species